CCAGAAAUCUCUUCUUCUUGGAGUUUUUCACUGUGAGCCUAAAUCCUUGGAUAUGGGAUGAAGUUUUGGACUGCCUGGAGUCCCAUAACAUUAUGAGAAAGAAGUAGCAAUACUAUUGUCAUGGUUGAAGAAGCACAUUCAUUAUCAGUGUAUCCCUCUUUUUUGAAACAAUGAUACUUGGGAAGAUACACUGGAACCUCCCUUCUUAUCAAGAUAUGAAGUAGAGAAAAUACCUUUUCCUCUAAGCAGUCUAUGAAAAUGACACAAAUUUUUAUGAAUUUACUGGUAUACAGAAUUGAUAGUUAAGCCUGGUAAAGUUCAUUCGGUGAAUUAUCAGUACCUGUUGGGAAUGUUUAAAACUGGGCAGAAAGGAUGUCUCUUUUUAACAGUGCACAUUCUCUUUACAUUCUCGAGUCACCUUCACCUUUCCAGCCGGUAUGGCUCUGAGCAUAUACCAGUGUUUUGCCUCAUGCUGCACUACACCAGAUAGAGAUUCACAUAGUAAGUGCGUGGUUUUACUUCAGUUUGUCAGGAAGAGAGAGACCCUUGCCAGGAGCAAAUCUCUCUGAUGAAUUAAAUUCAGGAAACUAGCUCAUUUCAGGGCAUGGAGCUUUCUCAGCGUUACUGUGUUUCAGCAUUAGUAUCAGUGGUAGAAAUAAAACCCCAAAGUGUAUAGAAAAGAAGAUUGUGAACUGUGACAGUAUUCAUGACCAUAGUCCUUGUAAAAAUAUGUUCGGCUGAUUGGGACUUUUUAAUAUAUUCUGUAAUGGGAAGGUGAAAAUUCUCAGUGAUUUUAAUUGCUAGGGAAAGUGUUAUAAAUGAAGCAUUGAAGGGUAAAAUGAAGUUACAAGAUGAACUAGCAGGAGGGUAAAAGACAUUUGUACAAGAAGGAUACUGAGAGAUUUUCAC